rnacentral:ncRNA from 2 species
CCUUCGCGGUUUGUUUCAGGUGCCCGGCAGCCAACGGCUGGCAGGGUGAAACAGGGAAGCCGGUGGGAAGACACGCACUUCGAUUCCGGCGCUGCCCCCGCAACGGUAAAUGAGUCAAGACCGCGCAUCGUGCCACUGGACAUUCUCCGGGAAGGCGCACGGUCGGCAGGCAAUGCCUCGCUCAUGAGCCCGGAGACCGGCCUGUCACGUAUUCAAGGC